rnacentral:rRNA from 1 species
UACGGAGGAUGCAAGCAUUAUCCGGAAUGAUUGGGCGUAAAGCGUCCGCAGGUGGCUAUGUAAGUCUGCUGUUAAAGAGUGAGGCUCAACCUCAUAAAAGCAGUGGAAACUACAUGGCUAGAGUGCGUUCGGGGCAGAGGGAAUUCCUGGUGUAGCGGUGAAAUGCGUAGAUAUCAGGAAGAACACCGGUGGCGAAAGCGCUCUGCUAGGCCGCAACUGACACUGAGGGACGAAAGCUAGGGGAGCGAAUGGG